rnacentral:rRNA from 1 species
UACGUAGGUGGCUAGCGUUGUCCGGAUUUACUGGGCGUAAAGAGCGCGCAGGCGGUCGUUCAAGUCGAGUGUGAAAGCCCCCGGCUCAACUGGGGAGGGUCACUCGAUACUGAUCGACUCGAAGGCAGGAGAGGGAAGCGGAAUUCCCGGUGUAGUGGUGAAAUGCGUAGAUAUCGGGAGGAACACCAGUGGCGAAGGCGGCUUUCUGGCCUGUUCUUGACGCUGAGGCGCGAAAGCUAGGGUAGCAAAUGGG